AGUUAUAAAGCUAUAUGUAAAUAAGCAUGUGCCUUGAAAACACAAGAAAGGAGUUAAAAUCUCCUACUAACUU
rnacentral:tRNA from 1 species